AAGCUGAGACAAGUCCAAGUCAAGUUGUGGUUGUGACUUAAAUUCGACUUGACUAGCGAGUCCUGUAACUCAAAUCCCCAUCCCUGCUCUAGAGUAAAAAAAGAGAUGAUCUCUAGCAGGACCCCCAGAGCUGAAUCCAGCUGUGGAUACUAACUCGAACCCAAGCAUAUCUGUGAUGCAGCAUCUCAUCCUGCGCCAUAACAUUCCAGUGGCUUUCUCCUCUCCUGGAUGGCCUCCUUUCCGGAGGUGCCUCAGCUGUGGAUUCCUUUUGUUAGUAGGGCGUCGGGCAAGAUGGCACUUGGGGUUCCUUCCAGCUCUACCGCCUGCACCUAAAUCAGACAAAAACCUAGACGAGGGUGUGGUCAAAGGAGGUCACAGGAGAAGAACACAGAAGCAUCCCAGCCUACUUAGGGGAAGAGUAAUUCUACUUGUAGAAGAAGAAACAAAAAUUUAAACAAAAUCCCGCAGGAGGCCACCUCCCAGAAACCCUGGGCCGGCACAGCUAAGGGUGAAGGCUUCUAGGAGUUUCAGCCCAAGAACAUUUGGGUGAUCCAAGGUCAGAAACUCUUGUCCUUUCUCGACAGCCCAACGAGCAGAGAAAGAAGGCUGUGAUGGGAAGUCAAGAUUGAAAUGAGCUGUUUUGGAGACAAUGUCCAUCUGGAAACGGAGCAUGUGGGAUCUGAACGUGUGAGGAUGGUUCUGGUUCGAAAUGGAGCCUUUCUGAUGAUCAGCAUUUCCUUUUGCCCAGGGGAGAAGCAGUUGGAGGAUAAAGGGGGCACGGGGUGGGCUUAUGCCCUUUCUGGAGUCCCACUCCCCCUGCCUUGGUCCCUGCUCUGCGUAGAAGCACAUUUCCUGCCAGUCUGAAUAACAGCGGCCCCCACCUGCUAGAGGCAUUGAGGGUUUUGAUAUAUCAGUGUCAGGAUCUGGCCCGUACCGUCCGAGCAGCUGCAGGAUUGGGGCCAGGAACACCCAGGAGUGGCCGAGUGUUUGCAGGCUCAGGCCCUGGCCUGUG
rnacentral:lncRNA from 1 species